AAUAAGGAGUUCGUGUAACUUCUCUUGCAUGCCCAACUCAAUUUGCAUAACCUAUUUUUUCUGGAUUAUUAAUAUUCGGACAAAGUUGCUCGAAGUUUACCUGUUUCAAUAACUAUGCAAAUAUCCUUUGCAAAAAUAUCGUAUGGUGCUUCGUUUUUGAAUUAUUAACGAAAAACCACCGACCAAUCACAGUGCUCGAGUAGCGCGCGCUGAGUCGCGAGGAUAAGCUCGAGCCAGGACGCUCGGGAUAGCGCGCGCUACUCGAGCACUGUGAUUGGCCGGUGGUUUUUUGUUAAUAAUUCAAAAACGAAGCACCAUCCGAUAUUUUUGCAAAGGAAAUUGUUGUUCAGAAUCGUGUCAACGAUCCCCCAUUUCCGGUUCUUAUACUAAUUCUGGGACGUUCUGUAUAAUAUGUUUUUUUUUCUCUUCUAUCGAUCAAAACGCCACGCGAAAGAGUGUUUGGAGAACUUUCCAGGAACGUAAUGUACAAUGUCCUAACGACGAGCGAUUCGUGGCGUUCUUCGCGAGAGAUUACGCGAGUAAGUGCAGGGCCGUAUACGCUAUAACAGCGUCCAACGCACCCCUCUCAUUAACGAUUAAGCACGUCCUUCACAUAUCAUUAGCUAAUUACCCAUGCGUCUUGCCGUGAAAACUUAAUGUUAGGAUUAGUGCCUCGACGUGAAACAUGCUCGGCCCAAUUUUCUCGGCGCAGCGUGUCCAGAGAGGAAAACGCGUCCUUUUUCGACGAAUUAUUGAUCACCACGUUGCACACCUGAUUUAGGUUCCGUUAAUUAUGCAAUUAACGUAAUUGCUUGGAAUAACGUUGCUUCCUACUUGAAGGUUCUCGAAGCAGCUACCAAACGAGCCCAGACGACUAAAUAUUACAAUGAAUUGUUUAUAUUUCACCGUUACUGUUUGUUGCAUUAAAUCGAUUUCGAAAAAGCAAAGGAGCGAAGGAGUAUAGAUUCUUUGAUGUCUUGUUAAUUACAGAAACGUUUUAUUACAGAAUAUAAGUUAUAUUCAAAAAGCAAAUAAAAAUUAUAUAUAUAUAUAUAUUUUCUAAUCAAAUUUUCUUAGUUUUGGUAAGCAUAACUAGAAAUUAUUGAAAUAUAAUAUUAUCAUAGUUACAACUAUUAUAAAACAUCAAAUGCUCAGUGAAGGAGACAGUUGGAUGAAAUAAUUUAAACAUAAGUAAGAAACAUUUUCCAAAGCCAAAGAAUCUAUCUUGUUAAAUUCAUUAUUUGGUAUUUAUCAUAAUUUACAAUUUAUUAUUUAUUUUUAUAGCGAAAAGAACAUAUCCGACAAACAAUUUGAAAUUUAUGGAAAUUUGGAUUGACAUGACACGUCAUUUGAUUAUGCGUUAAUCUAAUAAUUAACUCGAUUCCAGCGUAACCACAGACUCAAACAUGAGAAAUUUUAAUUUUCUCAAAUUCCACGUCUCGUUUCUCGUGUUUCUCAUAUUCUCUAGUCCAUCUACCAAGAAUAAAGAAGGUUGAAUCUAUUUUUCAUGUAUCACAGGAGAACGCGUUAAAUCUUUGGAUAUCUGGAUGCCAAAGUGGGUCAAUUUUUGUCUUUGGAUAGUUUGUUCCUGCCUAUGCAAUUCGUAGUGCAUCAUUUAUCGCGGUUGAUGCAUUCAGGAUGUUGGUAGCAACCGAACCAUGUCCCUAGAAAAUCACCGUCUAAAGAAUACAGUUGAAAAAUUGCCAAAACCAACCUGAAAGCGUUUCGUUUCGCUGAAAGUUUCAAGCAAACGCUCCACAUUUUUUAAUCCCUUCUCCGCGGGACUUCAACGAAAAUAUUUUCUUUGGAAGUUGCAAGAUGAGUAAAAACGUAUUUUCAUGUUACAGCGAUAUCGAUUCUUCGUUUCGAAUAUUAUGCGAAGACUCAACGAUGUAAGUAAUUCCGAUCUUCGAUUUAUUUGUGCCUAACCGAGUCGAAGAAUCACUGCUCCGUCGAAAACGUUUCAAUUGCAGCUUCGACGAAGUUUAAGCAGACUGUUGGAGGAGAUAAAUUAUUUAAUAAAUUAAUACUUGACCAUUUAAAUUGGCAGUUAUUUCAAAAUUUAUUAUUUGGAGGCUUAAAUGAGUUUUAAAUUAUUCCCUACUAGAAUUUCGUUUUGAUGUGAUUUCUUGCUUUGCCAAAUUUUGUCGUUACUAGCCUGCGGAUGUUUAUGUAUUUAUGAUAAAUAAAAAUAUGGAAAAGUGUACGAGGAUGUGCAUGAAAAUAGAAUUUUAUUUUGUUUUGCAUAGAAAUCCGCAGACUGUUCAAAAGUGAACUGGAAAAUUAUGAACAAUCAUGAGAGGUUUGAGUAUCGAUUGAGUUCUAAACGAGUAUCAAUUCUUCGACUCGAGCGGCGACUAGAAGUAUGGCUCUAAGACUUUAGCGAACCGUGAACCCCAGAACAAAGUAAUUGAUAUAAAUAAAACUAUAUAGAUACAUAUACAUAUAUUUUUCGCUAUAGAAUCGCUUCUCAACUCGACAGGCCUAAGAAUUUCGGUGUGAGAACGAGUACGUUUAACACGUUAAACGAUUCCAGGCAUUCCGUUUGCCCUUGUGGACUGGCUAUACAUUUUAUUAGGUUGGCAACAAAUUCCCGCCGUUUUUUUUUUCAUUGCACCUUAAAAUUGAAAAAAAGGAAAAACGGCGUGAACUAAGUUGCCAACCUAAUAUAUUUAUGCUAGAGCGCCGAUUAGUCAGGAAAAGUUUCGUGUCUGUAAUAAAUAAAUAAAGUUGUCGAAGUUGAUAUAAACGCUGUCCAAAGUAAAACGUAUUUAAUAGAUUUGAGUAAAAAUUGUGUAUUACAAAUGAAGAAAGGUAUACGAUAAAUUUUGGACAAUUCUAGGUCAGGAAUGUGUAAUUGCCAAAAAGAAAAAAAUAAAACAAAAUGCUACUUAUUUUUUUAAAUUAGACAAUCUGUCUAAAUUAGAACUCAUUUAACAGAUUUGAUUGAAAAAUUAUGUUUUACAAAUGCAGAAAGGUAUGCAAACGCGUAACCUAGAAAACUUAAUAACAUCUAAUAAUACAUAUGUAGUAUUAACACGAACAACUACAGUUCAGGAAUGGACUAAUUUCUAAACAGAAAAAGUAAACAAAAUGAAAGGCAACGUGUAGUUAAAGAAGAAGUGGGGUGAUUUUCUCCAUACAGUUGACUAACAAUAAGUGUCGAAUCAUUGAACGAGAUUGAAGCUCAAAAAUAAAAAGGCUCCAAGCUCAAAACCUAAAUUUUUACAGUCGUCGUUCAACUACCCUUCUAAUUUUCCUACUCGCUUCUAUAGUUUUUUACUCGGCAGUAAAGUGCGACGUGAACGGGACGUCAGGCAAAUCAAGCUCAACGUUUAAUGUGUUAAGCAUCGUGGUGGUGCCAAACGUGGUAAAAUAUGAAACAUCGAUACCGAAGGGAAAAAAGCGAGAAAGCGUUGACAGUGCAAGCAGAAUACGAGUAAAAGGGAAUUAAAUUAAUAAUGAAACUAACGAGCUUAAAGCGUGAGAGUGCAAUUGGUAAUUAAUUGGGAAAAAAUGAAUUAACGAUACCGAUAAGCUGAAAACAUGGGGGGAAUUGAAUGAAAAGCGACGGAAAGGUGACGCAAGAGAACCGACGAGGUUUGUUGGAGGAAUGGUUGGAAAAUGAAGGGAAAAAUAGAAAGGAAAAAAAUCGUACGCGGUCAUUUCGCUAAUUAAAUAACUGGAUUGUGCGUGAACGCGCGAGCGAGCAGUUUCGUUUCGGUGAACGUUCGUGGUUAUUUCGUUCAGCACCGACGCGUUUCGAGUAUCCUGCGUAUUGACCUGUCCUGGACUGUGGAAAUCAAUUUCGUGAAAUUUAUUCCACGGCUCUUCUCGCUCCAAUAAUUAAGAAUUUAUCAAUUUCCGAUCCGACAAUUGGCAAACUGCCACUCUAUGCCUAUCUUUUCACUCGAAAUUUAUGUAGAAACUGUUGAUCAAAAACUUACUGGCACGCUUACUUCUCUUUUACUACAUUUAUGCGUUGAAGUAACGUAUUACGCGUAGAAAGGAAUUCCGUGCUUUUCUAUUCAAUCAUUUAUAACUGUAGUUUAAGUAAAAAUAGUUCCCACUCGUUGUUUCCUGAAUCCUUAACCUGUUCCCCAUUAUAAUGAAUCUAUAUUAUGGUUUUUCUUGAAAUCUAUAAAAAACAUAUUCGUGCAAAAUUUGAGUUCUUAAUUCUACCAUUAACACGUGCCUCGAACCUGCGAAUAUUUUAAACGGAACGUAUUAUACAUACAAUUUUUUUGAUUGGUUACUUAUUUUUAUAACUUAACUAAAAAUUGAUGAAAUGAUUCGAAAUUUGCCAAAGUUAUUACCGACAACUCUGGUAUCUUGAAUUCCAAUCCUAUUAUUAAUAUAAAAUAUAAAUAUGCCAAUCGUAAAAGAAAUUAAUUUCAAUUAAUUGUCUCGUUCUAUUUACAAUACCUGUAAAAGCACAGAUUGAAAGUAAUGAGUGAACACAGGAUAGAGGAUCGUAGCACCACCUGCAAAAGAAAAAUGGGAGAAACAGAUCGUGCGUGUAAGGGGCCAGAGGAACCAAGAUUAAUAUUAAUGUCGAUUAUUUUUCUCCUCCUAUUCUAAUGAAACAUCAAAAUCAGGAGGAAAGUAAUGAAAGGAAACAGGAGAGAUGAGAGAAAUAAUCGCGGUGAAUCCGUCUAUCGAAUAAAAUGAAAGCGUAGAGAAAAUGAAGGAGGAAUAGAGGGCGGUGUUGAUAACUGGUAAUAAAAAUAAAUCGCUAUUAUUUCUCUUCUCCUAUUGCAGUCAAUUAUCAGAGACAAAUAGAAUAAAAUAAAAGAGAACGAGGAUGAGCAUGAGAAACACCGAGUACUCGUGAAAAACUGGUGAGAGAAGCUUGAGUGGAAAAACAGCAAUGAAAAUUAAUCAUAAUUGGACUGCAAAUUUUAUGCACUUAUGACGUACAAUAAUAUAGAAAUUAUCCAUAAAAAUAUGCAUAAUGUAUGUUGAAUAUAUUCUAUAACUAAUAUAAUAAUAUUGUUACUUCGUUUUGUAUAAGUAUGUGUACUUUUUGGUAAUGUUUUAGCAUGUGUUUAUUAUAUUAGUUUAUGUUAUAAACUCAUAUAAUCUCCAGUCUAAUCAUAAUUCUAUUCCUUCUUUUUCUUCUCUUACUCUGAUUAACCAUUAGAAACUAUUAUUAUCAUAUUUUUUAUACCUCUGCGAAAAUAACGCGACAUUUUUAUAAGUCGGCAUGGUACCGAAAGUGCAUACUUUUUGCAAUUUUCUGCUGCGAAGGCAAGUAAUUAAAAGUUUUGAAAACUUUAAAACUCUGUAACUUUGUCAAAAAUGAACCAAAUUGAAAAAAUCGAAAACGGUUGCGUUCGUCUUAUUGUCGGCUGCAACUUUUAUUUGCAGAAAAAAAUCGAUUUCAAUUUAAAAAAGUGACUGCCAUGAUAAAAUCCCGAAAGUAGCGCCAUCCACAAUAAAACUGAUAACGCCAUCUUGUGUCCCCCUUGGAACCGUACAACUUUUGUCGAAAAUAUUUUUUACCAGUCUUCCGUCCAUCCCUAUGAGUAAAAAUAGAUACAAACUGACGAGUAAAUGUAUUUGUUUGAACUAGAGUUACGAAUAGGUGAAUGUAGAGGCACAGAAUUAAUUUCUACACCUAACAUUUGCAAACAUUUCGAUUUCACGACGCGGCAGUAUAACGUUCACCUUCUUUUCUUCCACGCUGUAUGCCGACAUUAUUUACCAGUGAUCCGUAGAACUUGGUUAACAACCUAAUAAAGGAGAGGAGUAAAAUGAACAAGGGAAACCGGCGGUGGUGGGAGCCAUGCGAACGGGCAAUCGCAAAGAGGCCAAGAGGGACGAUGGUGCUUCUCCGAACGGAAAAGAGAACGUGGAUAAAGAAAAAAAAAAAGACACGGAGAGAGAGCGAAAAGGAAGCAUACGAGUGUGGUACUUAGUUGGAAAAAGGGUCGCGCCGAGCGUAGUGCUGCACUACUGAAAACACUGGAUCCGCUUAAACAGAGAAAAGCGAAAAGCAGGCCCGGUUUCUCGUAAACUGUCGGAAAAGAGGAUGCGUAAAAUGCUGAGAACAGAUGCAUGGAGGAUAAAGGUUGCCGUAUUCUCCGUAUGGCAUUCGCUAGAACCAACAGUACUUUACUAUCGAUCAGCGUCAGCUGGAAGAUAUCGCUCGCUUCGCGUACCGUUCCGUUCUGUGUGUUUCGCUUGUUUCCUUGGAGAAUACUUUACCAGUGGCUUCUCGCUAUUGCAUGAAGGAUUGCUAUCUCUGUAAUUAGGUAUGAUAGCGAUUCGUCGUGGCAUUCGAGAAGGGAGAAAUAAAUUAAAGAAUUUUAAUCGUUUCUACAACAAACGAAACUUUUUUUUUUAUGUGUACAGUUCAUUUAUACGACGUUUAGUUUCAGAGAUAAAAGUUGAAAACUUAAAAGAGCUUCUUUCUGAAAUUCAAUUUUUGCAACGAACUUUUAACUUUAGAAUUCUUAUUUUCGAAAUUAAGCAUCCUGUGAUUAAACAGUAAAUAUAACAAAGUCUCGUAUCAUCGUCCCCUGUAAGCCAAUAUUUUUUCAAAUUCGAUUCAACAAAUAUCCUUUGACAGAUAUAUUUUUAAAGUUCUACACUGUGAGAUAAAAGUUCUAGAUUAGAAUACCUCUUUAAACCAAAACAUCCCCCUAAGUGUUGCCAUGAAAAGCGCGAUACUCGCGUGUAAUUGAAGGAAUAGACGUAUUUUUCGAUCGAGCGAAACAAGUUACGUCUUUCUUAAGCGUCAAACAUUCCAUCCGAGAGCGUUUGAAUAGUUCGAUGGACGCGCUGUAUUUCGCAGAAUGGAUUGAAAAUAGAGACCGAGGCGCAAGAGGCGGCUAAAUUAUUCCACGUCAGGUAGGGGUAGUUUUUUUCAGUUUUUUUUUUUCGGUAGGUUGAGGAGAGGGGCACUCGCGUUCCACCUUGAAAAAAAAAAACCACGAGCCCGCGAGGCUGGGUGUACUUUGGGACGAAGAUGGAAACGGUGAAAAGAACGGGAAUGAAUACGCGAGCACAGAGGCACCGAAGCACACCUGGCUUACCCUCGAGCACGCUUCAAAGUCAGCUCUUUGAUCGCUCCUACGGGGCAAACGGCCUAAGUGGGCCAACACUCGGAUUCCAGAGCAACAAACACCGACAACGCUGUUUUAUUUUCCCGCGUAUAAUCGCGCUUUUCCCAUGGAACACUAGCUCUCGCGAUCAUUCGUUAUUUUCGUUCAGAUUUCUGCGGUUUGGGACGAAAUGAUAGCUCGUUAGCCAUUCUUCUUUAUAAACGCAACUCUUUAACACGUUCCGCGUGUACCAUUUAUAGUACACCUUUAAUUUGACUAUAAAUGGUAUACGCAGAAAUAUUUAUUCGAUGCACUGAAAACAUAUAUUUUAUGACAAAUUUAAUCCUGUAAAAUAUAUUUCCACCAAACGAACGAGGCAUUAUUAAAAAUGCAGUAUAAAACAAAAUAAGCUAAUUACUUAUGGAUUUAUUACGUGAUGAAAUAUUUUUUGAUAAUAUCUAUCCUUAAGCACUUUCGAUACGUAAUCCAUAUACAGGUGAAUGCUUUUCAUUGAAGAGCUAAAAAAAUAAUUCUGAAAGUUAAGCGUCAAAGAAAACCAAUUUCGAUGAAAUACUUGAAUUUCGAUGAAGUUGCAGAAAUAAAUAUCACAAGAAACGUUUGACUAUGAAAUUUACAAUAUUCUGCAAACAAAAUUUAAUUACAGUAGAAAUGUUCAAUACUAUUAGUCUGGCAAUUAACGUGUUAAUCCGUUACCCACUUUUCAAGUAAUUUUCAUAAUUAUUUUGCAGGGAGAGUACUUGACAUAACCUUUUGAAAUUUGGUACGUUUGUUUAUACAUGUAUGUAUUGUAGGAAACUCUGUUAAAUUUACACCUGGCCUGCACGAUGUUACGUGCAAUAUUCAAUGUGACGUCAGAUGAAACGGGGCUGGAAUAUUAACGCGAGGUCAGUCUGGUUGGUCGAACCAAUGAUAAAGGUUUUUAUUUUAUUCAUUACGAAUAUGGUUAUAGCCUGUACUAUAGAAAAAAGUACUGAGAGGAAAUUGAUAAAAUACAGGCAAUUCAAAUUUAAAUGUUCAAUUUCUUUACAAAAUUUUUGCGUCUAGCUCGAAAAAAUAAGAAUUAUUAAAGUAACAAAAUAAUCUCAACUGUGUCAUCUAAUAAGUUUAAUGUAAAAAUUCCUACUUUUGAGAAUAAAUUCAACUUUGAUAUCCCUA